UACGAAGGGGGCUAGCGUUGCUCGGAAUCACUGGGCGGAAAGGGUGCGUAGGCGGGUCUUUAAGUCAGAGGUGAAAUCCUGGAGCUCAACUCCAGAACUGCCUUUGAUACUGAAGAUCUUGAGUUCGGGAGAGGUGAGUGGAACUGCGAGUGUAGAGGUGAAAUUCGUAGAUAUUCGCAAGAACACCAGUGGCGAAGGCGGCUCACUGGCCCGAUACUGACGCUGAGGCACGAAAGCGUGGGGAGCAAACAGG
rnacentral:rRNA from 1 species